UCAUUUCUCGUGUGGCUGCCAUACUUAAUUUCAGUGAGAUGCAUACGGGUGCGCUUGAAGCAGGCAAUUUGACAAGCAAUUUUUAUACUUAACUAAUUACAGGUUUAUUUAAAAAUAUUUACGUCGUGCACAAAAAUAAAACCAGACAUAGUCCAUCUGAGGGCGAGUUUUUCUUGUACUUUGAGACCAUUGAAUAUAAAUUUGUCUUUCAAGCAAUAGCCUUCAUUGUUCUCCCUACGGAUGCGGCUUCCCGGAUGCAGCUCCUGGAUGCGUCUUCCCGGAUGCAGCUUCCCGGAUACUUCUUCCCUUGGCUCUACCAAAACACAAUCUAAUGCAUUAGUUGGAUUAAAAAGGAUACACAUAGUAAUAAAAAUGGUUUAAAUAGACAGUAAUGAAAUUUGUAUAUGGGUCAUUCCGCGCCAAGUGACCGAGAAAAAGUGAAAACUUGCAGGUGAAUACUAUGAAUUCCAACCAAAAUAGGUGUAUCUACUUACUUUGGGCCUACAUUUCGAAAAAGCAUUUGAUCCGACCGUUUGAGCCGC